rnacentral:rRNA from 1 species
AUUGAACGCUGGCGGCAUGCUUUACACAUGCAAGUCGAACGGCAGCGCGGGCUUCGGCCUGGCGGCGAGUGGCGAACGGGGGAGUAAUGCAUCGGAACGUGCCCCGUAGUGGGGGGGAGCCCGGCGAAAGCCGGAUUAAUACCGCAUACGACCUGAGGGUGUAAGCGGGGGGCCGAAAGGCCUCGCGCUAUUUGAGCGGGCGAUGUCGGAUUAGCUAGUUGGUGGGGUAAAGGCUUACCAAGGCGACGAUCCGUAGCUGGUCUGAGAGGACGACCAGCCACACUGGGACUGAGACACGGCCCAGACUCCUACGGGAGGCAGCAGUGGGGAAUUUUGGACAAUGGGGGCAACCCUGAUCCAGCCAUGCCGCGUGCGGGAAGAAGGCCUUCGGGUUGUAAACCGCUUUUGUUCGGGAAGAAAUCCUCUGGGCUAAUACCCCGGGGGGAUGACGGUACCGGAAGAAUAAGCACCGGCUAACUACGUG